rnacentral:rRNA from 1 species
ACGGGGUAGGAAUACCUCGGAACAUACCCUCAGGUCGGGGAUAGCGGCGGGAAACUGCCGGUAAUACCCGAUGAUCUCGAGAGAGCAAAGGUUUACUGCCCGAGGAGUGGCCGAGGCGAUAUUAGCUAGUUGGUAAGGUAAUGGCUUACCAAGGCUUCGAUGUCUAGGGGGCGUGAGAGCGCGACCCCCACCACUGGGACUGAGAAACUGCCCAGACACCUACGGGUGGCUGCAGUCGAGAAUCUUCGUCAAUGGGGGAAACCCUGAACGAGCGACGCCGCGUGUGGGAUGAAGGCCUUUGGGUUGUAAACCACUGUCAGGGGGGAUGAAACCGCAAGGUUGACAGAGCCCCAGAGGAAGCACGGGCUAAGUUCGUGCCAGCAGCCGCGGUAAUACGAACUGUGCGAACGUUAUUCGGAAUCACUGGGCUUACAGGGUGCGUAGGUGGCCGGACAAGUCAGGUGUGAAAUCCCUCAGCUCAACUGAGGAACUGCGCUUGAAACUGUUUGGCUAGAGUGGGCUAGGGGUGCUUGGAACUGCCAGU